rnacentral:lncRNA from 1 species
CCUACCUCACUGCGUGGCUACGUGACGAGGCUGCGUCAUUGCGUCGUAGCCAUAGCAACCGCAACAGUUUCCUGACAUGGCUCACGUCAGGAAAAAGUCCAUUAAAACUUCUUGUAUUUUAUGAUUAUUUUCGCCUUCAUUUCGACAGAGACUGGUGAAUAUGGUCGCUAAAGGAGACAAGGAGAGAUCAAUGGAGCAGGAGGGGGAGGAGGAAAUGAAGAUGGUUCUUAACUGUCCUCCAAUCCACCCACUGCCUGAAGAGAUAAAAAAAAAAAAGGUAGGCAGCGAUUCAAACAUCAUGUCCCUGAAAACCCCUGGCAGGUACCUUGCUGAUUUUAUUUUCUAUUUGAAGUUACAUCUGAACGCCAGGGGAACCAAUACGGAAUCAUUUUCACAGUAUAGACAUGUAUUCACUGUGGGACAAUACUGCACUUUACCAUUCAAAAUGACAUGUUAAUGGAAGAAGACCAUAUUGACACAACAUAUGUUGGAUUUUUUUUAACCCAGAAACACAAAUGUGUUGAGAACAUACAGUAUUUUUUUCCACCUUGAUGAGUAUUUCAACACUGCACACUCUCCAUAUGCUGCAGUAAUCCAUAUGAUUUGAAGAAAUGGGACACUGUUUCCUCUUUUUAUCUUCCAUCUGUUUUAAGAUAAAGCACAGAGGACGUUAACAUGGCAGUGAUGCGUGUUGCUUUAUAUCCUUGUCAAUGUCAGGUGGCAGUUACAUAUUCCCAUAUGAUAUGCCAUAUGGUAUGAAUAUAAAUUAGCAAGGAAAAUCUCUAGCUUCUCCCCAUUCAAACAGGAAGCACAUGGAGGAUCUACGGUCGGUGUAUUCUCUGUCUGUCAAAGGACAUAAUUUUCUCCAAAGACCGUGUUUUACAGAAAUUGAAAACUCUUUUGAAGCUGGCGCUAAAGCAUUUUUCACAUAAAACCGCAUAUUUCAAAAAGGCUCUUUCACAUGCCUUUACAUCCAAGCAAAGCAGCAAGCUAAAGUAAUUAGAUUAUGACUUUUUUUUUUUUUUUUGCAGAUGUGUAUAACCAGUGGUUCUACUUCCCAUUCCGAUGUGUGUGAGAAGAGGUGUGUUUCCCACUGCGUCCUUGGCAGAGUUAAUUAAUGUCUCAUGCCUGUGGGAAACAUAGCCAACUUGGCUUCAUUUACACAUACAUUGGUAACCUUUGAACAUGUUUUAGUUCAUCUCCUCCACAUUAACACUGUAUAAUAUUCCAAAUGGAACAGCUGGCUGAUGUGGGAAGGACCUCUGCACCUGCUUUAGCUGUGGCUAAACUAGGCACUAAUUUUCUUAUCUUUCUUAGGGGUAGGCUACAUUGACUGAACAGUAUUUUUGGAAUAAUGAUAUCUACAAUUAAUAUAAUUAAGAAUUGUAACAGAGUUUCUCUGUUCCCUGUAUUGCUUUGUGCUACAUUGUAAGCAAUCAAUCAUUGUCACCAGAGCUAUUUUGGUUUUUGGAACUCUUCUACUGUGAAGCCAGCAGCAACCUCAAUGUAUAUUGCUGCUGCAGGGUCGUGAUGUAAAUUAACAAAUUGCUAAUUUGUUAACGUUAUUUGGCAAAUCCCUGCUGUUGACUUGUUUACCGCCUGUGUGGGCGUCUCAACAUCCAGGUGCUUGUUUUUGGUGCUGUCAAACUUAACAGACGGCUGUCGCGUCAACAAGUUCCCAGCUCUCAGUUUUAUCGGUUCAGUGUUAUGAUAACCAUCAGAAACGGUCAAAAACAGCAAGACCGCAUUUGUAAUUCCUUCAAUUACACUUAAUGUUCCUGUGUUCGGGUUGCAACAGUAUGAAAUGUAUCACGGUUUCAAUGACUUGAACACACGCUUUAUAAUAAUUUCACAAAUCAACAAUGUCCUUGGUCCUGACAGCUAUUAAACUUUAUAUAAACAUGAAAUAUUG